rnacentral:rRNA from 1 species
UAAGACGAAGGGGGCUAGCGUUGUUCGGAAUUACUGGGCGUAAAGCGAGUGUAGGUGGUUGUCGUAGUCAGGCGUGAAAGCCUUGAGCUCAACUCAAGAAAUGCGCUUGAUACUGGGCAGCUAGAGGACCGGAGAGGAUAGUGGAAUUCCCAGUGUAGUGGUGAAAUACGUAGAGAUUGGGAAGAACACCAGUGGCGAAGGCGGCUAUCUGGACGGUUUCUGACACUAAGACUCGAAAGCGUGGGGAGCAAACAGGAUUAGAUACCCUGGUAGUCCACGCCGUAAACGAUGGGUGCUAGACGUUGGCGGGCUUGCCCGUCAGUGUCGCAGCUAACGCGUUAAGCACCCCGCCUGGGGAGUACGGCCGCAAGGUUG